rnacentral:rRNA from 1 species
GCACGGCGCACGGGUGCGUAACACGUGGGCAAUCUGCCCUUCGAUGGGGAAUAACUCCGGGAAACCGAAGCUAAUUCCGCAUAACAUUUCGAGGAUUCAAGCGUCGAAGGAGGAGCCCGCGCCCGAUUAGCUAGUUGGUGAGGUAACGGCUCACCAAGGCAAUGAUCGGUAGCUGGUCUGAGAGGAUGGCCAGCCACACUGGAACUGAGACACGGUCCAGACUCCUACGGGAGGCAGCAGUGGGGAAUCUUGCGCAAUGGGCGAAAGCCUGACGCAGCGACGCCGCGUGGGGGAUGAAGGCCUUAGGGUUGUAAAGCUCUUUCGGCGGGGACGAUGAUGACGGUACCCGCAGAAGAAGCCCCGGCUAACUUCGUGCCAGCAGCCGCGGUAAUACGAAGGGGGCGAGCGUUGUUCGGAAUUACUGGGCGUAAAGGGCGCGCAGGCGGUGCAUGAAGUCAGAUGUGAAAGCCCCGGGCUCAACCUGGGAACAGCAUUUGAUACUCGUGCGCUGGAGUUCGGGAGAGGAGAGUGGAAUUCCCAGUGUAGAGGUGAAAUUCGUAGAUAUUGGGAAGAACACCGGUGGCGAAGGCGGCUCUCUGGACCGAUAC